CCUACGGGUGGCAGCAGUGGGGGAUAUUGCACAAUGGGGGAAACCCUGAUGCAGCGACGCCGCGUGGGUGAAGAAGCGCCUCGGCGCGUAAAGCCCUGUCAGCCGGGCAGAAAAUGACGGUAGCUGAAGAUGAAGCCACGGCUAAAUACGUGCCAGCAGCCGCGGUAAUACGUCGGGGGCCCGCGUUCUCCGGUUUUAAUGGUUGGACAGGGGGCGCAGACGGCGAUGCAAGCCAGGAGUGAAAGACCGGGGCCCAACCCCGGGACGGCUCUUGGACCUGCGUGGCGAGAGUGCAGGAGGGGCAAGCGGAAUUCCAGGUGUAGCGGUGAAAUGCGUAGAUAUCAGGAGGAACACCGGUGGCGAAGGCGGCCUGCUGGACUACAACUGACGUUGAGGCCCGAAAGCGUGGGGAGCAAACAGGAUUAGAUACCCCAGUAGUC
rnacentral:rRNA from 1 species